UACGUAGGUGGCAAGCGUUGUCCGGAUUUACUGGGCGUAAAGGGCGCGUAGGCGGCACCGCAAGUCGACUGUGAAAACUCCGGGCUUAACCCGGAAAGGUCAGCCGAUACUGCGGGGCUAGAGUGCAGAAGGGGCAACUGGAAUUCUCGGUGUAGCGGUGAAAUGCGUAGAUAUCAAGAGGAACACCUGCGGCGAAGGCGGGUUGCUGGGCCGACACUGACGCUGAGGCGCGAAAGCUAGGGGAGCGAACGGG
rnacentral:rRNA from 1 species